AUUAGUAAGCGGAGGAAAAGAAACUAACUAGGAUUCCCUUAGUAGCGGCGAGCGAACAGGGAAAAGCCCAGCACCGAAUCCUGCGUCCGAAACCGGGCGCUGGGAAAUGUGGUGUUAGGGAGGGUCCGUCAUCCCGAGGUCGUGCGGCUUGUCAAAGUCCUUCUUGAAGGAGGCCGACGCCCGGAGAAGGUGCUAGGCCCGUGCAGACGGCCGCCGAUCGCGGGAGGAUCUCUCCUCAGAGUCGGGUUGCUUGAGAGUGCAGCCCUAAGUGGGUGGUAAACUCCAUCUAAGGCUAAAUAUGACCACGAGACCGAUAGAAAACAAGUACCGUGAGGGAAAGUUGAAAAGAACUUUGAAGAGAGAGUUCAAAAGUACGUGAAACCGUUCAGGGGUAAACCUGAGAAACCCUAGAGGUCGAAAGGGGAGAUUCAGCGCGUCUCACGUCGAGGAACCGGAUGGUCGCGCGACCCGCGGCGUUCGCGUCGAAGGCGCCGUCCGUCCGUCGAACCUCGUCUGAACGUGUGCAUUUCUUGCCGAGUAGUGUGUCGCGAACCGUUGGGUGUCGGCCGAAGGGUCGCGGUGGAGACCGACGGGACGGUUCGCCGUUCUCGUCGGACCCGCGGUUUCCUGGCCGACUCGCUCGACGGUAUAUCCGAGGCGCCGGGCCGCUACAUAGUUAGCGUUCGACCCGCGGCAAGCUCGCACGUCGCUUCGACGAUCGGACCUGGUGCCGUCGUCGAGCGCGGGCGGCUGUUCGCCGCGGCGUUCUCGAACAGACCCGUUGAAACGCCGUUCCGCGACGCUCUCGCUUGGGGUUACUCUCAGGGCCCGU
rnacentral:rRNA from 1 species